UUUGUAUGGAUGUGCCUUACGUACAUAUGUAUGCACUCGUGUAUCACAGCUUGUACACACACAUACGUAACGUAGCAUGGGAACAGUCUUUGCAAAUACACAGUGACAAAGAGAAAUUAAACCCCCAUCAUGAUUUUCAUGAAAAUCAAAAUAAACCUACGAACCGGUUCAAGUGUCGCUAGUGUCGUCAAAUUUAAUAUGCAGCUAAUAACAGUCUGAAGGUUACGUCAGUUUUGAAUUGGUUUGUCAGUUGGCAUCUUGUGCAUAUGCGUAUGCUGUUUUCUUUUGUGAUUGAAUCUAUCAAAAUAAAUAAAAACAAUGCCUGAAACUAUACUUGAUGUUCUUAGAGCACAUUCAUUUAAUCGUCCAUUUACGUUUUUAUUUUAUACUCACAGUGAUCCCUCAGAAGUUUCUGUGCCAUGCAGUGUACCUCAACUUAAAAAACUACUGGAAGUUAAAUACCCCUUGUUUAAAUCCCAACAAGAAGUACAAAAGUAUUGUAAACACAUAGAUAACCUGGAUGAGAAAUUUCUGAAGAGAGUGAAAAUAAAUCUCAAACAAGGUGAUUUUACUAAUUUACAGCAUAUCACUAACCUGCCAACCUCAUGUAGUGCUAAGUCAUCACCACGAAUAACUAAAAGCUCAAAGAACCAAAAAAGCAAAGCCUUAAAAGGAAGAAUGGCUGGCAAGAAGAUACAACCAUCACAAAAAGAUAGCAGUAAUCCAAAAAAAGGAAGAAAACGAUUGACAACAUUAUUGCAACAAAAUAUUACUUCCUUGAAGAAACCUGCUCCUUUAUUUGAAGAAGUUUUAGAAAGGUCUGAUAGUUCAGGAGACUUAAUGCUUUCAAUGAGCAAAUUUGUAGAUAAGUUAGCUAUUAAAUAUGGCGCACUAGAAGAAGAUAAUUUUUCUUGUUUAUCAUCCUUAAAUGGAGCAACAAAGGUUAAGAAACGUAAACUUCAUUCAUUGAGUUAUAUUGAUUCAAUUGCGGACCCUGAAGAAUAAUACUUGAAUUAUUUUAUAAGGCGUUAACAAAGAUAUAUUUUAUACAUUUUAGGUAUUGACUUGCCCAUUAUAUGCUUAAUUUUUUUUUUCAUUGGGUUACCAAAAAUGUUCACAUUUGGUUCUUAGUAUAUUAUUUUCUCUUAAUAGUAUAUUAAGUAUCAAAUGGCUAAACGAGGGCUUAACAAUAGCAUGUUGAGGUUUUUGUAUUUGAACGUGUGUACGUUAAAUUUUCGAAACUCGCUCGAACACUACUGGGAAUUGUAAGGGUAUAAAUGCCGUGCAGCGGGCUAUUAAAAUACUUUAGUCACGGGGUGGAGCUUGGGCCUGCGUAUUUGAUUACGAUGCAGCACUAAACCAUGUUAAAUGCCAUGUGCCGCCAGUCAAACAAAUAAAAGCAUGCUCUGCUACUACUCGUGUCGGCGCGGCGCCACAUGGCGCUUUCCAAUAAAACAAAUCAAGGAAGCUGUUAUCAAACAAUACUAUAACACGGAAAAUAAACAAGAGAAAAACGUUGCGAAAGGUAAAUGUUACUUAUUCUUAUAUGUUUUUUUAUUAUACAAGGAGUGGUGUUUGCGCGAAUAACUUUUGUAUUUUGGUAACACACUAGUCUGGAACACUUAAGAGUACUAUGAAAAUGGGGUUGAAAAGUCCAAUCUGCCCUGAAAGGAAUGUAAAAUUUUUUUACCGCAGUUUUACUAAAAGCUUCCUAGCUGGCUGAUCAAGCAGUUUCGAUUUCGUUGUUCUUUGACUGAUUGUACGGUCUUAUUACAUGUUGUCAAGUUAAUUUUAUAUGCAAACCAAUUGUGCAAUUGCAUGUGUUGUAAAUAAAUUCCACCAUAUUUUUAAAUGUAUGUAUGUUGGUAGCACUUGUUAGGGACAAGUAACCGCCCUUCUUGCACCCUUGUGGGAUGACGGAUGCUGCAGCCCUGUACUCGAUCUCUUACUUGUUAAGCCGUCUUAGCGUAAGCACGUCAAGUUUAUAUUGUACACUCAUUUAAGUUUCUUUUCAAUAUACGUUAUAUCCGUUAA